AUAUCAAUAAGCGGAGGAAAAGAAACCAACAGGGAUUGCCUCAGUAACGGCGAGUGAAGCGGCAAAAGCUCAAAUUUGAAAUCUAGUACCUUCGGUGCUCGAGUUGUAAUUUGAAGAUAGUUUUCUGGUGCUGGCCCUUGUCUAUGUUCCUUGGAACAGGACGUCAUAGAGGGUGAGAAUCCCGUCUGAUGGGGUGUCCAGUGCUUUGUAGAUUUCUAUCGAAGAGUCGAGUUGUUUGGGAAUGCAGCUCUAAGUGGGUGGUAAAUUCCAUCUAAAGCUAAAUACUGGCGAGAGACCGAUAGCGAACAAGUACAGUGAUGGAAAGAUGAAAAGAACUUUGAAAAGAGAGUGAAAAAGUACGUGAAAUUGUUGAAAGGGAAGGAUAUUGGAUCAGACUUGGUGUUUUGUGAUUAUCUUCCCUUCUUGGGUUGUGCACUCGCAUUUCACUGGGCCAGCAUCGGUUCGGAUGGCAAGAUAAUGGCUUGGGAACGUGGCACCCCUCGGGGUGUGUUAUAGCCCUUGUUGAUGUUGCCUAUCUGGACCGAGGACUGCGGCUUCUGCCUAGGAUGC
rnacentral:rRNA from 2 species